GAGUCCGAGGCCGGUCGGCCGUCACCUUAGACCGCGCCUGAAAAGCAUAGACCUCGCGUCGCGGUCGGAGAGGGGUGAGGCGCAGGGGCCUCAGGGAAAUGUAGUCCGGACGCUUCGCUUUUUCCGCCGGGAGCUAGGGCCGCGAGAGCUGGGACUAUGGGGUCCCGACCGGCCCCAGAAAGAAAGCCAUCUCCCGGGCCGCCGGGAGUUGUGGUUCCCCUCCAGACUCUUCCUAUCGUUCUUAUCUAGGCCCUCGGCACGCAUGAACUACCACUCCCAGUGUGCAGGGGGCUUUGGAACCUCAGAACCCCGGAGACACUGGCGUGCAAGAAAAUUGCCGUAGAAGCCGCGGCCCUGCGGCCCUGUUGCUCAACGAGAGGAGGCGGGUGACGGAGAGCAGGGCGGAUCACGCGUUCCUCUCGAGCCCCGGGCCCCCAGACUCAGACUCCGCACGACUUUGCUUGCCGUGGUAGGGACAGUAACUUGGGUUUUCACAGCCUUCCCCCACAGGGCUUGCUGCUAAGUCUGCCUGGACACCGAGCCCUCGCGGCCCACUGCCGCCGGGAAAGAACAGGGAGGCCCGGGAGAUGGAGAAGGUGGCCGCCGCGCGGAAGUGCAGGCGCAGGGCCACCAGGGGCCGCUACAGGACUAGGGGCCAGGCUGCGGAUCCCCACCCCCACCCCGGCUACUGACUAAAGUCUGGACUCGGCUUUCUUGUCCUGAGAAAGUCACAGGAAACGCUUUAUUUUGGUGAUGAAAUCAACAGUCCCCACACAGUGAACCUUCACUUGUGCAAACUUCACUGCCCUCACCCGACACGGGAUCGCUGGCCCGCCCAGGCUUCUGCGGCCCGCGGUGAUCUGGGAGAGAGCUCUCAGCGCCUUUCCUGCGGCGCUUCUUAGAGGCGAAUUUGCUAGGCAGCCAAAGCCGCGGCGCCGGGUCAGAAGCCUAGCCAGCCCGCCUGCCCGUCUUUCAUUCUUUACUUCUUUCAUUCUUUGACUGAAGCCAAAUAAACUACCGACAUCUCGUCA